AGGGCAUACGGCGGAUGCCUAGGCGCCAUCAGCCGAUGAAGGACGCGGUAAGCUGCGAAAAGCUACGGGGAACUGCAAGCAAGUAUUGAUCCGUAGAUGUCCGAAUGGGGAAACCCACCUGCCGUCAUGGGCAGGUAUCCGAAAGGAAGGGAACCCGGGGAACUGAAACAUCUAAGUACCCGGAGGAAGAGAAAUCAAACGAGAUGCCCACAGUAGCGGCGAGCGAAGAGGGCAGAGGGCAAACCGGGGAGCUACGGCUCUCUGGGGUUGAGGACUGCAUUUAGUCUCAAUGGUUUAUCCGAACUACCUGGAAAGGUAGGCAACACAGUGUAAAAGCCACGUAGGUUAAAGGCCAGAGAGAUGAGCAGUAUCCAGAGUACCACGAGGCACGAGGAAUCUUGUGGGAAGCCGGGGGGACCACCCUCCAACCCUAAACACUGAAUGGCGACCGAUAGCGCAUAGUACCGUGAGGGAAAGGUGAAAAGAACCCCGGGAGGGGAGUGAAAGAGAACCUGAAACCGUAUGUCUACAAGCAGUCGGAGCGAAAGCGACGGCGUGCCUAUUGAAGAAUGAACCAACGAGUUACGUGCACUAGCGAGGUUAAGUGGAAGACACGGAGCCGAAGCGAAAGCGAGUCUUAAGAGGGCGGAUAGUUAGUGUACGUAGACCCGAAACCGCAGUGAUCUACCCAUGUCCAGGUUGAAGCGCAGGUAAAAUUGCGUGGAGGACCGAACCUGUGAGCGUUGAAAAGCUUUAGGAUGAGAUGUGGGUAGAGGUGAAAUUCCAAUCGAACGCGGAGAUAGCUGGUUCUCCCCGAAAUAGCUUUAGGGCUAGCCUCAAGUAGUAAGUAUAGGCGGUAGAGCACUGAUCGGGCUAGGGGCCAUAAAGGUUACCGAACCCUGUCAAACUCCGAAUGGUUAUACUGUAGAGCUUGGGAGUCAGACUACGAGUGAUAAGAUCCGUGGUCAAAAGGGAAACAGCCCAGACCACCAGCUAAGGUCCCCAAUGUCGUACUAAGUGGAAAAGGAUGUGGGGUCUCUAAAACAACCAGGAUGUUGGCUUAGAAGCAGCCACCAUUUAAAGAGUGCGUAAUAGCUCACUGGUCGAGAGACCCUGCGCCGAAGAUUACCGGGGCUAAAGUACGAAACCGAAGCUGUGGCUACGACUUAGGUCGUGGGGUAGGGGAGCGUUCUGUGAGGGCUGAAGUCGUUCUGUAAGGAACGGUGGACUUCACAGAAGUGAGAAUGUUGGUAUGAGUAGCGAAAAGAAUGGUGAGAAUCCAUUCCACCGAAAGCAUAAGGAUUCCUGGGCAACGAUCGUCGUCCCAGGGUAAGUCGGGACCUAAUCCGAGGCAUGGAGCGUAGGAGAUGGACAACUGGCAGAUAUUCCAGUACCGGUAAUGAUUGUUUGAGCGAUGGAGUGACACAGGAGGGCAGGCAGGCAGGAGAUUGGUUGUUCCUGUACAAGCGUGUAGGGUGGAAUGUAGGCAAAUCCGCGUUCUAUGAGCCUGAGGCGUGAUGUGGAGGUUCCGGAAACGGAACCGAAGCUGCUGACCCCACACUGUCGAGAAAAGCUUCUAGUUAGAGAAUUACCGCCCGUACCGUAAACCGACACAGGUGGAUGCGGGGAGAGAAUCCUAAGGUGCGCGGGAGAACCCUCGUUAAGGAACUCGGCAAAAUGUACCCGUAACUUCGGGAUAAGGGUAGCCGCUGUUGUGAAGUCUGAACAGACGGAGCAUGAGGCGGUCGCAGAGAAGAGGCCCAAGCGACUGUUUACCACAAACACAGGUGCCUGCUAAAGAGAAAUCUGACGUAUAGGUGCUGACACCUGCCCAGUGCCGGAAGGUUAAGGAAGGAUGUCCGGAGCAAUCCAAAGCAUUCGACCGAAGCCCCGGUGAACGGCGGCCGUAACUAUAACGGUCCUAAGGUAGCGAAAUUCCUUGUCGGGUAAGUUCCGACCCGCACGAAAGGUGUAACGAUUUGGGCACUGUCUCAACGAGGGACCCGGUGAAAUUGAAAUACCUGUGAAGAUGCAGGUUACCCGCGACUGGACAGAAAGACCCCAUGGAGCUUUACUGUAACCUGACAUUGGGUUCUGAUACAUCACGUACA
rnacentral:rRNA from 1 species